UAGGGAAUUUUCGUCAAUGGGGGAGACCCUGAACGAGCAAUGCCGCGUGUAUGAAGAAGGUCUUCGGAUCGUAAAGCACUGUUGUAAGUGAAGAAUGCCACAUAGAGGAAAUGCUAUGUGGGUGACGGUAGCUUACCAGAAAGCCACGGCUAACUACGUGCCAGCAGCCGCGGUAAUACGUAGGUGGCAAGCGUUAUCCGGAAUCAUUGGGCGUAAAGGGUGCGUAGGUGGCACGAUAAGUCUGAAGUAAAAGGCAACAGCUCAACUGUUGUAUGCUUUGGAAACUGUCGAGCUAGAGUGCAGAAGAGGGCGAUGGAAUUCCAUGUGUAGCGGUAAAAUGCGUAGAUAUAUGGAGGAACACCAGUGGCGAAGGCGGUCGCCUGGUCUGUAACUGACACUGAUGCACGAAAGCGUGGGGAGCAAAUAGGAUUAGAUACC
rnacentral:rRNA from 1 species